GCUUCCUCCUCAUCUUCUCUUGCUACCACCAUGUAAGAAGUGCCUUUCAGCUCCCACCAUAAUUCUGACAUCUCCUCAGCCAUGUGGAACUUUCCCAGGUAAUGCUGAUGCUGCUGAUCUGGGGGCAAUACUUUAAGAACCACUGGACUGUAACAAUGUCAAACCUGCCUGAUGAGAAGAAUCACCUGGAAGGUUUAAAAAAAUGCAAAAUCCUCGGCCCCAUGCCAGACUUUCUGACUCAACCUCCAGGGAAGAGCCUAAAAUUUUCUAUUUCAACAAUCCUGCCUGAUUAAUAUGAUUAGCAAGAAUUUGUUUGUACCAGCUCUAUGCCAUACACCGUGAUAGACACACCAGACGUGGAAGUGAGAAAUAUGGUUCCCAUCUUGGAUAGCAAAGAAGAUGGACAAAUAAACCAACAAAUUAAACACAGAAAAACGUUUUCUAAAGGAAGGAGGUUUCUUGAAGGAAGUGGUACUUCUGUUGAAAUAUGAAAGAUGAGUGAGGGUUAGUCACAUACAGAAAGGGAGAAGGGAGUAUCCAAUGUAGAUAGAACAGCAUAUGAAAAGCACAGAGAUGUGAGAGAGCAGGUAGGCAUUGCUGUAAAUCCAGGUGGAUGUAAAAAAAAUCAGAGCCUUGCAGGAACUAGGUUGUAGAAAGCUCUGUGGACUAAGUUUAGUUGGUUUAACUUUAUCCUAAAAGUCACAGGAAAAUAUUAAAGAUGUUUAAAAAAGAAAAAAAAGCAGAUUUUCAUUUUAUUAACAAAACAUAACUCUGGCAGCAGGUGUGGAAAAUGGAUGGAGGGGCCAGGACCAGAAGAAAGACACCUGUUACUGAAGCAAUGCAGAUGGGAAAUGAUGGAGACCUAGAUGUAGACCAUGCCAGCAAAGACGGAGGGGCAGAAUUGAGUAAUACUUGUAGAACUAAUGUAACUUACAGGAUGAUUAGAUACAUAGAAAGGAGACUAACUCAAUCCUUUAUUUUUCUUCCUUUUUCAAAAGUUUUUUUAAGACUAUAUUACUAUCUUUUCCCCAUUCCCUCCAUACUUAAUAUGACAGUUAGCUAAUUUUACUUGAAUACCUAUGUCUUAUUCUUUACCAACACCAUCAAGCAGCAGCAUCUCCCUACCACCACCACAACAAGCAGCAAGUGUUUAUGGAGCACCUCUUAAUAAAUUAUCCUUUGUCUUGUUUUGUGACAAAUUUACAUUCCUCUCUGCUUUACUUUUGCUUUAUCCUGUAUUUUUCAUUGUUCUGUGGUUUAGCGUGUAUUUUCUUCUGCUCUUCCAGGACCAUAGGAUUUCAGAGCUUGUUACUUAAGUUCUCAGGUUUUUGAUAUGUACUUGGAAUUUUAUUUUUUACUACUUUCUCAAAGUAAUGCUCCACAAAUAUUUCUUAUGUAAUUCCAAUGCAUCUAAAGAGAUUUAGCAUUUGAGUUUUAUGUUAAACCAAUAAACUGAUUAAAGCCAUAAUUAGCAAUCACCAACUUUUAUCUGGAAAUAAACUGAAAACUAUUAUUCACUUACUAAGGCUCUGGUGUACUUAUUUCUGUAAAGAGAACACUAUACUUUGCUCAAAGAAGUAAUACAAUUUAUAUUUUCUCCUGUUCUCAUGUGUGCAAAUUAUGUUCAUUUUAUUGUACAGGCUAUAUAUCUUCUGCAAUACCUUCAUCUGCCUGUAGGUGUAAAGUUAAAAUUCAGCUCUUCUG
rnacentral:lncRNA from 1 species